AGUGAAAUCAAAGUAUUGCACAUACUAAACAUACUUGAAUAAAUUUUCAAACUUUGUGCUUCAUAACACACUUUUCUGUGUACUUUUUAAUGCCACAUUUACACAGUUUAGUGCCAAAGUAUUUUUCCUCUUUCUAGGGGAGAGUUGGGCACCAUAACUGAUACUGAUGUCUCCUGUCAUCAUAAGUGUGAGCUUCAAAGCCUUCUUUCUGUGCUAAGAGGAUUUCUAGUUCUGCUUGAACAUGUGGAGGUGGAAGAGAGCGCACAUAUUUGGACACAUACAUUCAAAGAGAAAAAGGCACAGUCAAAGACUUCUGCCUUUUCACAAGAAGAUGGAGAAGAUUUCAAUGCCCCUUUGAGCCCAGAAAAUUUUGUUCCGUAGUUUUGGAGUGUAGAAAACCAGAUAAAAAUGUUGUUUCUCUAACACAGACCUGCAGUCUUCCAUGUAUCAUUGGACAAAGCUAGGAAGUGUGCUGGAGUUAAGGACUGAGAGCUUCACUGCAACAUGGUCUUUUUGGAAAGCUGUUGCUGAGAAUGGAGGGGAAGUCUGAAGAUGUUGCAAUGGGAUUGCUGAAGAAGAUAGAGUGCAGUAUUCUCUGAGUAUUGCUUGAGCUUACUGAGUUUUAUGCCCCACAUGUCUUGCAUUUCUUCCUCAAGAAAAAGAUUCGAAACAACAAUGGUGACAACACGUGCUUUGAGAAGUUUACUGUUUUCAUUGUAAUAAUUUAUUUCCUGUUUUCCUUCUUCCAACAGAAGAUAAAGCCCUGUAAUGUUUGAACAGAAUUACAGAAGAUUGAAACUCUUUAUAUGGUUUGGGGAACCACCUGUUGGAGGUCAGCAUGCCUAAUAGGGGAUACUGGUGUAAAAUUUUCUAGGCAUUGAUGAUGCCUGUUCAUUAGUGCAUGUUAUAUGAGCAGACUUUUUUGAAGUUGUCAUGGUUGAACUGGAGCUGCUGGGCAUUGGGUAUAUCUGUUAUGGGGCUGCUGUUGCUUUGUAUGGUGUUUCUGGGUGCAGUGUGCAGAAAUGAGGUGUAAAGCCAGAAUUGGCUUGGACAACAAUUCUGUGCCCUGUGCACAGCUGGAACACAGCCAGCGCAGAGUGGAGCAGAGGUGGGGUGUGAAAAUGGAUUAGCAAAUCCAGACAGUGCUGCUGCGCCUCAGCAGUGGAAGAGCAGCAGCACCCAAAACUCUUGAGUCCUGCAUUGCCAUGUCCUACAUAUUUUCAAGGUGCCUGAGGAGGACCAGAACCUGAUUGAAGCUUUUCUAAUUGUUUGGAGGAUUCAUAUUAACUCUCACAUCAGGUGGAGUCUAAACCAGAUUUUUAUCUUUGUAUGUUCUUAGAUUUUUUUGUAUGUACUUUUGUAUGUACUUCGAUUUUUAUCAAAAUAGUAUCCUUUAGAAACUGCAGUUGUCAUAGUAAGUAAAAUCCUUCUGUGUAGAAGCUUAUGAUCUUGUACAAAAGGUCCUUUAUGAAAAAUUAUCCAUUAUUUGAGUUUUGUAAAUCACCUAUACUUUCUAUUAAGUAUGUAAUGGUGGAAUUUAGUCUAAGAUUUCUGCAGAAUAUAAAAAUAUCUCAGACAGUGUCUGCUCUAAUCAGGGAAUGUAUGUCUUCCUAAUAACACAAUGUAUUUGAAGAACAAUUAUAUGAUGCUCUCUUAUGUCUGAAUGUAUAAUAAAUGUAAUUGACUUACAGAAUAAUAAUUUGUGUUUAGUUGGGCAUGUAUUCAUCACUAAAUCGUUCACUUGUAGGUAUGCCUAAAAUCAGCAUUGUGGAGAUCACCUUAGUUUCUGUUUUAGGUUGUUAAUUUAAAAAUUUGUCAUUAACCUGCAUGGUAUUUCAUUAUGUUAGGUACAAAGUUUUUUUUCAGCUGAUUUGAGAAGUAAAAUUGAUUUUGAAAUGCCCUUAUUUCAUGUGAUAAUAUUGCAAAAAUUAUGUUAAUUCACCCACAGUUAUCUGUCUG